UGUGGUUGUGAAAGCUGUGCGC
rnacentral:misc_RNA from 1 species